rnacentral:misc_RNA from 1 species
GAACUGCGAAAAGUAAUGUGACCUGCAACCUUUGUGAAUCAUCCAAUCUUUGAACGCAACUUGCACCAGCAGCGAUGCUGGUAUGCUUGUUUGAGUAUCGCAUCACUAGUUGACUUGGACACUCAGGAAUGAUGUCUGAAAACGAGGGGCCGGAAGGUCUACUGGGAUAACAUCCUAACAGUAGACACGCACAGAGCCGUUGAGCGCGAGCUCGACGACGAGUGCCAGGCCACCGCGACCAACAGUAAGGAAUAAAUACGCAGUAUUGAAACCUAAUGCUUGGCGCGCAGACACAGAGCACAGCCCUUAAAAGCUACGCUCUGCGUUUCAUUAACGAUCUCAAAUCAAGCAAGGAUACCCGCUGAAUUUAA